CGGGUGAGUAACACGUGGGUAACCUGCCCGGAAGUGGGGAAUACCUCGGGGAAACUCGAGCUAAUACCGCAUAACAUCUUUAGGACGAUGGUCCUGACGAUCAAAGCGGGGUCGCAAGAUCUCGCGCUACCGGAUGGGCCCGCGCCCGAUUAGCUAGUUGGUGAGGUAACGGCUCACCAAGGCUUCGAUCGGUAACCGGCCUGAGAGGGCGAUCGGUCACACCGGAACUGAGACACGGCCCGG
rnacentral:rRNA from 1 species